CGACCAUAUCAAACGCCUGUUCCUGUACGAUCACCGAAGUUAAGCAAUGUAGAGCCUGGAGAGUAUUUAGAUCGGUUACCGCUCGUGGAUACCAGGUGUUGUAA